ACGACACUCUGGUGGACCCAACACUCAGCCAUGAAGACUUCCUUCCCUCUUUUCUUUUUCAUACUGUUGAGUUUCUCAGAAUUAUCCCCUGUGCUGAGUCAGACCUGUGAAGGCAGAUGCAAGUUAAGUUGUCCACAUGGGGAAUAUGUGGCUUCAAGAGAAAGAUGCCACCAUCCUGACUAUGUUUACUGUUGUAAAGGGAAAGAAUUAUCCCCUGUGCUGAGUCAGACCUGUGAAGGCAGAUGCAAGUUAAGUUGUCCACAUGGGGAAUAUGUGGCUUCAAGAGAAAGAUGCCACCAUCCUGACCAUGUUUACUGUUGUAAAGGGAAAGAAUUAUCCCCUCUGCUGAGUCAGACCUGUGAAGGCAGAUGCAAGUUAAGUUGUCCACAUGGGGAAUAUGUGGCUUCAAGAGAAAGAUGCCACCAUCCUGACUAUGUUUACUGUUGUAAAGGGAAAGAAUUAUCCCCUGUGCUGAGUCAGACCUGUGAAGGCAGAUGCAAGUUAAGUUGUCCACAUGGGGAAUAUGUGGCUUCAAGAGAAAGAUGCCACCAUCCUGACUAUGUUUACUGUUGUAAAGGGAAAGGUUUCCUGCAAAGACCCCUCCCCCUUAUCCACCAGCAUUUCUCUAAGAUGUAUAAAUAACGGAUGCAUUCAGUUCUGUUGCAACCAUAUCUUUGCGUGGAAACGACACUCUGGUGGACCCAACACUCAGCCAUGAAGACUUCCUUCCCUCUUUUCUUUUUCAUACUGUUGAGUUUCUCAGGUGAGAUGCACAGGGCCACCCAGCAACAGAACCUAUGUGUCAAUCAGUUUAAGCCAUUUCUAUUGACCAUCUUGGGGAUCUUGCCUAACUAUGCCCAGGCAUGCUGGGAAUAUUCCCUAGCUGUGCAAUAUCAGAUGCCCAGAAUUAGAGCCCACCUCUUAUCUUUCAGUUAGAGGGAAAUGUAAUGGGUUGCCUUGACUGAACGGGAAAUGUUUAGAGAUGUUGUUGAUCUCUUCCUAUUGACUGGUCAUAUUGAUUUAUUGAUAAUAUGUCUGCAGAAUUAUCCCCUGUGCUGAGUCAGACCUGUGAAGGCAGAUGCAAGUUAAGUUGUCCACAUGGGGAAUAUGUGGCUUCAAGAGAAAGAUGCCACCAUCCUGACUAUGUUUACUGUUGUAAAGGGAAAGCUGUCUAGCUGUCACCUACCGUUAAUGAAAUUUUCCCUUAAAGAUGGAUUGCUUCUUCAUUGUCAAUGGAUGCACUUAAUACGUGGACUGGUGAUCCAGAAGAACCUUUUGAGCUGUUAGAAACCCUUUGAGAAACCUGAUCCCUUAUUGCUUAUAACAAUGCGUGGACAUUUUGCUCCUAAUGAAACAAACCUGUUGCACAGAUGAACUAGGGGACCUUGAUUCUGUCUACAAAGUAGAAGGCAGAGCUGUCUCAUGUAUUUUGUUGCUCUAUGGCAGAGACAAAAUACUUGCCCCUUUCUUAAUGACUACAAUAAAGGGAACCCAACCUUCAAGGAAUACACACAUCACUUAGUGGCAUUUCUGUUUGUACCAUGCGUUUGAUUUCAUGAAGGUGGAUUUCCACUUCAUCCCUGUUUCAGAAGCAAUGAUCAGGCUUUGAGUGUAAUGGUGGUCUAGUUGCUCUUAUGUAUUUAUUUAUGUAUCACUGAACACUAAA